rnacentral:lncRNA from 1 species
UGGGGUUUAUAUAUAUAGUUAGCGUGCAUCAAGACGCCACGACCAAAACACCACUUUAGGAUGCCAUUUCCAAAUUUUAAAAAUGCUGAGGAGUGGAUGGCUGAAUGACAUGUCGAACGACUGCUCACAUGUUUUGGAGUUCGUCCCCCAAAUUUCUUCAAAAUAGGUAGUAGGCUUCAGUCUAUGGACAUGAUGGCGUGAGGAACCAUGAUUUGCUUCAAGGUACCAGGUUAGUGAAAAGUUAUGGUUUUCUUUCAUGUCAUGUCAGAACACAAUUGGGAAGAGUGAGAAGUCAUGAUUUGCUUUUAUGUCAUGUCAUAAUACAAUUGGGAAGACAAAAGUUUUGUCUAUUUAUUUAGGUCGAGCUCAGCUAACUCGUCGAAUAUACUUUUCAAGUUAUGUAACCAAGUCUAUGGACUUAACUUCUAAUUCAGUGUCGGCCGAAUCUGGGUUUUAUUGUUAUUUUGUUUGGCCAACUUUUGCCGAGCUCGGCGGACAUAAGUUGGUGCUCAGCAGUAAAAUCAUGGGUCUCUUUCAUAUCAUGAUAUCUACAGUAAAAAGGCUAUCUAAAUGGGGGAUUUGUUUUAAUAUCUCGGUGCACCUCAUCUCAAAUUUUGGUCAAAGGAAUGGAAUUUUAGAAAUUAGUUUGCCAAAUAAAUUUUUAUUCGGCGAUGGUUUCUCAGUAGUUCUCGGUUAUAUGUUUUUCUUGGUCAUUCGGCGAAGUUACGAGUUUCAAGGUCAUCUAGCCGAAGCUGAAGGAAAUUUUGAUAUGCGUUGACGAAUAAUUUCCUUGACCAUUCGGCUUAUGAGCCGAAGCUUAAGGAAACUGGGGGGCAAUGUUUGCGCCUGAUUUUAAACUAUCGACCUAAGUAAUCGAGACCGUUGAGUGAGCAUGGUUCUAGACCGUUGGAUAAGAAAGUUAAGAUAAUUUUUUUUUUUUUUAAAUAAUGUUAUGGUUUUUAAUCAUAAUAAUUAUCUUUUAACAAAUCAUCUUGAUUUUCUCAUACAAAACAACAGGGAUACAAAUCAUAGCCCCAAUUCAGAAGCAAGCAAAACAAUCCGAAUUAAUUUGGAUUUGUUAGCAGUGCACCGGAUUAGAGCAGUUUGGAUUUAUUUCGAAGUUUGACAUCAAAUGGGUUGCAUGCACCUAGCCUAGAUAGUUUUUUUGAAGUUUUUAAUUGCAAAGGGAUAAUUUCAAAGAUAUUUCUAUGCAUAUGGUUCAAGUGCCGUGCAAUAAUGAAAUGUCAGAUGAGGUGUUUGGCUUUGAUUACAUGUGGAUGGAGGAAAGCAUGUGGUAAAGCCACGUCACCAAAGAUCAAAUACAAUCAUUUGAAGAUCAAGUCAUGUCAAGCACAUGGGAGUUUGAAAUUGGACUUUACUUGAGGAUCAGGCUGUGCCAAGCAAGUACAUUAGUCCUAUAAAUAUAGGUGCAAUGGCAACGGAAGAAGCCCUUCCAAUUCAACACACAAACUACUCUGCGCAAACCCUCGCUCUACGCGAAACCUCUCAACAGCCUUAAGAUUUUUAUUUUCCUUUUUCGCCAACACAUCUUCAGUUUGGAUAAACAGCACUGUGAAGGCAACCGACGAACAUCUUUAGUUUGGAUAAACAACACUGUUGCUGUAGAAUCAGCCGAUCAUGAAGCACAUUCAGUUUGGAUAAACAGCACUGCGAUAUGGACGACUGGUUAUCUAUCCAAGUCUCGGUCGAGAAGGAUUUUCGCAUCCUUGUUGGCAGAGGUCAUCUCAUCAGCAUUCUCAGUGAAGUGAGGUGUUACAUGUUACUACAUUCGGCACAUUAAAAGCCGAAUUUGAUAUUGAACUUCGUAGAACUAGCAGCCUUGUCUUCAGGCUCUAGAACCCAAAGGCUGAAAGUGUUCUUUCCUCAGUCGCAGUCGUAAGAUCGAGAAGUUAGCCAUGCGCCCAACGCGACAUCAACAAAUUUUACUCAUUGGUAGAGCUCGGUCGUCAAAUUGGCACGCCCUGCACAUAACCAAAGGAUGUAGUUAGCUUAUUAAUUACUCGACCUACGCACCACGUAGGCUUGGUAGUUUUUAGGGUCAACAACUAGCAAAGGCCACACAUUCAGUGUGUGAGAACUAUUUUUUUUAUUUAUAAGAGCAGUGAUUUGUUUUUAACGAGCUGGAAAUUAAGGAGAGUAGAAAGAGCAGUGGGAGAAAAAUGUGAAAGAUAAAGGGAGGUGGGAGUAAAUUGGAGAUCACUUGUUUGUGAGGGUGAGAAAAAAAUACAGCAAAAUUGCUUAGUGUAGGGUUGGGCAAACGGGUCUAGGACCUGCGGGGCGAGGUGCGUCUUGUAGGUUCGGGGCAUGUCUAGAUUUUGUAAACUCGAAACGAGGCAAGGUAAGGUAGGUUCAUGUAAUUGGCGGGUCGAGGUGGGUGCGAAUUUCUAAAAAAAAAAAAGAGGCGCCCGGACUGGACCAUUUCCACCAUCCAUUAUAUGGAGAUUACAUCUCCACCGUUCAUUCCUAACACAUAUCUACUCUCUUUCGGUCUCUCAUCUCUCGAAUUGUCAGUUCGUUCUCUCAUAUCUUGAAUUCCCAACUCGAGCCUCGAGGUCUUCAUCUCUCAACUCCAACUACCAUCUUUUAUGUCGUGACAUUGUUUUCUUUGUCAGUCUGUACGUUAUGUUCGCCGCAAGACUUCAGCAGAGCUCUGGUAAAGAUGACCAAAAAGGACGAGGACAUCACCGCCUCUCUCGACGACUUCAUAGAGAAAGAUAUCGACAUCCUCGGUAAGUAAAAGAAGAAGUUUGAAGGGUCGAAGCUUACCAGUUGUUAGCCGCGCCUCGGUAUGUGAUUUGAGGCUCAAAUUUAUGUAAUUUAAAGCAAAAUAAGUGCUUUUAGGAAAUCUGCUUAUGGGUAUGUAUGAUUUUGUUUUGAUUCAUCAAUUGGUGUAAUUUGUAAUGGCAAGGGUGGAGGUUUUGGAUCCAUGAGGAAGACGACGUCUUUCUAGAUUGAUAUGCGUGUUAGGUUAGCGGCUGCUGGUGUGGUUGGGCUCAAGCACAAAUUGCAGAUCUUGUUAGACCCGUGAACUCAGCCCGAAUCAGCCCAUUUCAAACGGGCCAGGUUAAGUCUGAUUCCAAAUUUAUAAGUUUCAUUACUCGCCCCGCUCCACUUUGUUUCAUUUUAAAAUGGGUCCAGUCUGGUCCCUCCAAAUUUGGGCCUUAGUGUGUCAUUUACUAUAUUGCUCAUAAUUUUAUUUUAGUUAGGGGUGUGAUAUCCACACACCCCUUUUUACUUCUCACACACCCUUUAUUUAUUUCUAUCAUUUGAUAUUUUUCAAUUCAUAUGAUCCAAUGACUGGAAAUUAAAAGGGUGUAUGAAAAGUAAAAAUGGGUGUGUGAGAAGUAGGCCUGGUAAUUCCUGACACGACCCGAUAACCCGACACGACACGACACGAAAUUAACAGGUGUUCGGGUCGACACAAUAACGAAUCGGGUGGUUAUCGGGUAACCUGAUAAGCACCUGUUAAGAUAACAGGUUGAUUCGGGUAUACACGUGGGUAACACGAUACACGAUAAGCAGAAUAUUAAUUUUAUAACCCUAAAAAAAUAUUGUAAUAAUUAUAUAUAUUAAUUUAACAAUUUUAUACCCCUAAAAACUAUAAUAUAUAUAUAUAUAUAUAUAUUAAAUUAACUAUAAUAAUUAUAAUAAUUAUACAUACUAUAAUAAUUAUACCCCAAAAUAUUAACUAUCUAUAAUAAUUAUAUAUAUAUGUAUAGAUUAAAUUUUGAAUUAUAAAAACUAUAAUAAUUAUUAAUUAAUAUGUAUGCAUCCAUUGAUUUGAAUUUUGAUUCCAUAAUUGAUCCAUUCCAUUCCCUGCUGCAGUGCCACCCUUUUUGAAGAAAAAGGGAGGGAAAAUGAAAAUGAUAAGAAAAGUUGAAAAGGAAACAAAAAAGAGAGGGAAUUAGGGAAAGAUGGAUGGAUAGGGUGGAGGGAAAAGUGAAAAUUAUAUGAAAAGUUGAAAAUGAAACAAAAAAGAGAGGGAAAAAUGAAAAUUAAUAGAAGUGCAGUGGUGAGAAUAUUUUUUUUUUAAGUUAUUAACUUUUUAUCGCACAUGAUAUAUCCCACUAUUUUUAUAAUGACACGUGAUGUACUACUCUGUGUACCAGUCAAUUAUACAUACAAAAUAAAUAGAUUUAAAUCUACUUUAUAUAUAUAUACACACACACACACACAUACACCAUUGAACUUGAUGGGAUACGAAUUCUCCGAAACAAAUUUCAACGAUCACAACCGUCAAACUUGUUUGUAUAUGCUUCGAGAUCACAUCACCAAAAAAUCACAAAAAACAAACAUUCAGAGAUCAAGUAAUGAGACAAAUCUUUUCGACGGUUAUAAACGAAAAAUCACGAUUUAACGGUUAUUUUAACUCCGAUUUUGAUGAUUUUUUACAGCUACACUCCUUGACCCUAUAUGAAUACAAUGAAUGAAUUUGAUCUUCAAUUUAAAAUAUUUACACAAGUGGAUACCAUAAAAUCUUAUGUUAUACUUGAUGAAAGUAUAAAUAAAGUCUAAGUGUUAGUCAAUCUAUUGUUUUGAUGGGAUACAAAUUCUCCGAAACUAAUUUCAACGAUCCCAACCGUCAAACUUGUUUGUAUAUGCUUCGAGAUCACAUCACCAAAAAAUCACAAAAAACAAACAUUUAGAGAUCAAGUAACGGGACAAAGCUUUUUGACGAUUAUAAACGAAAAAUCAUGAUUUAACGGUUAUUUUAACACCGAUUUUGAUGAUUUUUUACAGCUACAGUCCUUGACCCUAUGUGAAUAUAAUGAAUGAAUUCGAUCUUCAAUUUAAAAUAUUUACACAAGUGGAUAACACAAAAUCUUAUGUUAUACUUAAUGAAAGUAUAAAUAAACUCUAAGUGUUAGUCAAUCUAUUGUUUUGAUGGGAUACGAAUUAUCCGAAACUAAUUUCAACGAUCCCAACCGUUAAACUUGUUUGUAUAUGCUUCGAGAUCACAUAAGCAAAAAAUCACAAAAAACAAACAUUCAAAGAUCAAGUAACGGAACAAAACUUUUCAACGGUUAUAAACGAAAAAUCACGAUUUAACGGUUAUUUUAACUCCGAUUUUGAUGAUUUUUUACAGCUACAGUCCUUGACCGUAUAUGAAUACAAAGAAUGAAUUCGAUCUUCAAUUUAAAAUAUUUACACUAGUGGAUGUGGAUAUCACAAAAUCUUAUGUUAUAUACUUAAUAAAAGUAUGAAUCAACUAUAAUAAUUAUAUAUAUUAAUUUAACAAUUUUAUACCCCUAAAAACUAUAGUAAUUAUAUAAAUAUUAAUAUAUAUAUUAAAUUAAAUUUAAAAAAUUGAUGACCAUUUGGAUCGGCUGAGAUUUAAUCUUUUGAGAAAGACUUACAACCUUGAAAACAAAAACUCUUUCAUUUUGCAUAUCCUUGCACAUUUAAUAUUUGUAAUAGAUUAGUAGUGUAUGUAUUAUUUUUUUAUUAGGCUCUUAUUUUCGAGUGUAGUUAUAGUACUUAAAUGACAAAUGUUUUAAUGUUUUGAAGUAAUAUUUAUGUGGCAAUAUGUGGUAUGUGCAAAUUUAAAAAAAAAAAUAUAUUUUUCUUAACGGGUCAUAACGGGUCAGGUCACUUUACCCGUUAGGUAAAGUGACACGACCUGUUAAGGACCCAUUAAGAUAACGGGUGUGACGACACGACCCGUUAAGAUAAUAGGUGUUACAUGAAAACGACACGAAUACGACAGACACGACCCGUUUGCCAAGCCUAGUGAGAAGUAAAAAGGUCCACACACCCCUUUAGUUAUUGUUGUUUAGUUUUGUUGAUAGGGCUAAAAUGAUCUUUUAACCCUUGACAAAGAGGGUUAUUUUGUUAUUGUUAUAAAUAUAGGUGUCCAUUAUUUAAUUUGAGUGGAUGACAUUAUGUCUGUGCAAGUAAUGACAUCAUGCAUAUGUAAACAAUGAUGUCAUGACCUAUUCAUUUGCCUAUAUAAUGAAGGCCAAGGCCACUAACAAAUAAGAGAAACAUACGGAGGAAAUGAAAGAAAAGAGGAAAGAAAGAGAGAAAAGAAAGAAGAGAUAUGCAUGAGAAAUACCAGUGAGCCAAGCUAGAGAGAAGAGGAAAAAUAGUGAGAAUUAUUUUGUAUUCCUAUUAUUUCAAAUAAUGAAAGAAAAUACUACUGGCAUCCAAAUGAUGUAGACAUACUUGUCGAACUUCAUAAAUAUUGUGUUUUAUUUACUAUAUCCAACUGCACACAUAUCCUCAAUUUUAAACAGUUUUUGAUUUUUGAUUUUAUUUCUUUUUGUCAAAUUGCCUUUUUUAAAAAAUUUGAAACUCGUUUCAUUUUUUAGUUUUAAAAAUGUGAAAACUGAAAAUAAAAAAGUAAUCCUAGUAAGUAAAUUACUUAUAGGAUUCUAUAAUAUAUUUUAUUGUAAUUGUAUUCCUUGGGGAGUAAGAUUUUUUCUCCCUUAUCACUAUAAAUAGAGGCACAACAAGGUUAAACACCAUACUAUAGAAUCACCAAAUUCUCUCUUCUAAUUAUCCUUGCCGUCGUCAAUCUCCCUCUUGUUGGGCCAUAAUUGUCCAGGGCAGGAGUGAGGCGGAUCAAAAUACGCAUACCUUAGAAGUCCGGUCAUAGACUCGACAGCCUCCGAUGUAGAGCUGAAUAAACGGAGCAGGGAUGACACCAUCAUCCUAUUCUGGAAUCAGUAGACAAAGUCUGACGACUUUGCUAAGAUUUAUCAUGCUUAUUCUGCAAGAUACGAAAACUUAAUCCAACAAGGAAUCAACAGGUUUCGUAUAAUCUUGGAGUUCUUACAAUCUAAGGAUUGACAUGUGUGACAUCCCACAUCGCCCAUGGGAGUGGAUCUUGUAAGCCUUAUAUGUAUAUUUCCAUCUCUUCGUAACACGAGGCUUUUUAGGAGCUCAUUGGCUUCGGGUUCCAUCGGAAUUCCGAAGUUAAGCUAGUUCGCGAAAGAGCAAUCCCAUGAUGGGUGACCGACUGGGAAGUUCUCGUGUGAGUUUCUAGAAACAAAACCAUGAGGGCGUGGUCGGGGCCCAAAGCGGACAAUAUCGUGUUACGACGGAGUCAAGCCCGGGAUGUGGUGGGAGCUAGGGCUAGGAUGUGACAACAUGCACCGUAAGUAAUCACAUUCGUAAAAUGAUGCAAUAUCUACUUCUUAGAUAUCUUUUGUGAUUCUCUCGGUUUGAUAAUGAUUAUAUUAUCCUAAAAUAUGCAUCUCUGCUCCCAAAAUUAUCGCAUACUUAUUAUAUUGCUUAUUGCUUAAGUCUUAUAUUGCUUACUAACUUGAUCGUUGGAGAGCCUUUGAUUAGCAUACACCACCUCCCCCCUCCCCAUGCCCCGAUUAUACUUGUUCACAGUAAUUUGUUCUUUUAUAGUUUAGUUGGAUUUGUGCAUCUUUACCGCUUACAGCGGUGUGAAUUUGGUUCCAACAAUUGGUGUUUUCAUUGAGAGUGAAAAUCAUAUUCCUCUUGACCAACUCAAUCUAUCACAGACAUGAACACAUAAGAAAGCUUUAUUAAAUCCAACACUAACAAGGUGACCGAUGACAACCUUGCCCCUGAUGUCUCAAUCCCAUCCAUUGAGAAUAAUCUUGUUGUCGACACCACCAACACUCUAGGGGCAAGCAAUCAAACCCUUCAUGCUCUAGCCACCCCAAAGGGCGGCGAUGCUUUGCCUAUUGGACCUCCCAAUAUGAGGCAUGUAUGAGAUACUUUACCAAAGAUCGACGCUUCUGUUGAUAAGUUGCAGCAUGCCUAUACUACUUUUCGGGUGAUGUCCUUCGUGGACGUCAAGAAGAGAAUGAAGGCUCUCAAAAGAUCCAGUAGGACCUUCCCACAAACUCAAAUUCCUAUUUUCGAUUAUAGCAACAUAAGUACCAUAACCCCAGAUGAAUAACUCAUCGAGCCAACUUAUACUCCAACUUUAGCAGACAUCACUAAUCCGAGUACAAACCCGCUUCAUAAUGAUCAAACUGCCAAUAACACUGCUCCAAACGGGACAAAGGUUCUACACAACCCUGGUCCCUUGGCUGUUGCAAGAGUGCACCGGAUGGAACCACGACACUGAGCUUUAACGACCCAAAGUCUUCAGAGGAGCCAAAGAGAUGUCGACUCGAUAACCACGACAUGACUAGAGAUGCCCCAAGGAAAACUCCACUUCGUAUCCCUGGUUGGACUGUCGUGAAAGUGAAAAGCACACUCUCUUCAACAAUCGAAUAUCCGCCUUCGCCUUAUAAGUUUUCUCAACCUCAAUUUAAGUACUUCUGCGGUGACACUGAUCCGGAUUACCACAUCAUGCACUAUAUGAGCGUCAUGGCGUUAUACAGCAACAACGACAUUUGGAUGUAGAAGAUGUUCUCCUCUAUCCUAGAGGGGACCGUCAUGAGGUGGUUCUCAGAGUUAUUAACUCGUUUGAUUGAUUGCUUCAAAAAUUUGGUCAACAUCUUCACCAACACCUAUUUGGUGUACUAUGAUGUCCAAAAGCAACACAAGGCCAUAUUCAUCAUGGUAGCUCAAAGCAAGGACAAAAUUCUUAAAGCUUACCUGAAGUGGUUCCACGCGAAAUCGGCUAAGGUAGAAAGGCUUGACGACAUACUUGCCAUCAUGGCUUACAAGUAAGGACUCUAUUUCAACUCGCCCUUCUCCUAGAAGCUGAACAAGAGGAAGUACGACUAUGCCACCCUAGCAGAAUGUUUGACCUCACUAACUGGGACAACAAAACCAAAAGGAAGGUUCCUUAUCAGGACCGCAGUAGGAAGCUCAAACGAAAAAGAGAAGACUAGAGCAAUCCACCUCUAUCUUCCCGUCAACAUGACAUGAGGGGACGAAAAAUAAAUCAGCUCCACUUAGAUUGAGGCAAUAUACUGACCUGCACACAAUCAUCAACAACAUUCUUCACAGCAUCAAGGACAAACCCUUCCUCGAACAGUUGGAACAUCUUCCUGAACAUCUGGUAAAUAAAAGCCAAAAGAGUAUUGCUCAUUCCACCAAUGCAUAAGCCCAUUCGAAAUUGACAAACGCUCAGAGACCACAUCGAGGAAAUCAUUAACCAAUGACACUGUUGGGAGUUUGUAAGAAGCAAGGCAAGGAAAGAAAAAGCCCCCCGAAGAAAAGGACAAAGGUGAAUCCGACAGGUACGACCUGACUGAUGACAAGGAUGACAAGAGGUCAUCAAAGAAGCUCACUCUCAACUUAGGAUUGCAGAGAGAGUGCCGUAGGUUUGAAUAGCAUCCAUCGCCUACUAUUGUGAGAGGCGCGUGUGCAUUGAGUUCUAGAUCACUACCUUUGAAUUUAUACUGCACCCCCUUGACAGUACCUUUUUCUUCCAGUAGAGAUGUCACCAUUCCUUGUUCCAAUCUUACAUUGAUGUCGAAAUUUAAGAAAUGACACACAAAUGAGACUCUAGAAGAGUAUGCAAAUCUCCUUCAUGAUGAAUCUCACAUACCAUGUAUUAUCCGAUAUCGUAUAGAUUCUUGUUAAAUACAUGGUUAAGUUUUCACAGUCUGACAACAUAGCAUGACAAACUUUCAAGCAAAGAGAAUAUAUUAAAGAUCCACUGCAAUAUGUAAUCAAAGGAUCUAUCUUUGCAUAGCAAAUACAGACCAAACGUCAAAUUAUAACAGAUACUUUAAAUAGAUGACUGAAGCGGAGGGAAAAGACCUCUAAAACUUUGAAUUAUACAACACAUGGCGAGCCUACUGAAAAAAGAAUACUAUGAAAUGUGUUUGAAGGGAAAUGAAGAGUACUUGGGAAGAGAUGAAGCUUUUUCCCGCAUCCUUUGAAUGAAACGCCCGUGGUGAAAGCUUCUCCCAGCCCACAUCAGGAUGGAAGUUUUCCAAAGGAUAUGGCAGCUUGGUACUUUUUCCAUCCUUGUAAAGAGCAUAUCCGAAAACCCGUUGAGCAUCAAUCUCAUUUACACAAUCUUCAACCAAACAGAAAUAUUAACAAUUAUGUAGUUGUCUAACUCAUAGUGGAAAUAAAUGAGGAGAACAGUUAUGGAACAUUCAUAUAAGUCCUCAGGUUUAUACUUCUUUACUUCUUUGCUUAUCCUCAAGGCCUAACUCAACUAAUCUGAGAUAUCCCCCUGGUUGCAGCAGCUCGCCGACGAUUCUGUCUGGCUCACUCAAGUCCCUUUCAACCACAUGCACUCGGCGCCCAUCCUGCUGUAUGCAGACAUUGUAAACAAAACAUAGCAAUAGUAAGAAGACAAGACAUGAUAACUUAGAUUUGUGCAAAUUGUAAAUAUUAUGAUCCUGAUGUUACUAAAUACAAUGUAACAAAAAUAUAUGAAAGGAUUUUCC